UACGUAGGGGGCUAGCGUUGUCCGGAAUCAUUGGGCGUAAAGCGCGUGUAGGCGGCCCGGUAAGUCCGCUGUGAAAGUCGGGGGGCUCAACCCUCGAAAGCCGGUGGAUACUGUCGGGCUCGAGUACGGGAGAGGCGAGUGGAAUUCCUGGUGUAGCGGUGGAAUGCGCAGAUAUCAAGUGGAACACCAGUGGCGAAGGCGAGUCCCUGGAAAACUCCUGACACUGAGGCACGAAAGCUAGGGGAGCAACAGG
rnacentral:rRNA from 1 species